rnacentral:sRNA from 1 species
GCACGCGAAUGGGGAGAGAAACGCGAGAAAGUGGAUAUUUCUGCCAGCCAACCACGGGGCAUGGAAUGACGACUUCGAAUUUACCAGAAAUGAUAUUUUCGAUGAACCUUCAACUUGGAUCUGAUUCAGCGGAUUUCUGUUUCGCGUGCUUCCAGCCGAGGAAUUCUCAUUUGCCCCGAGGAUACGAAAGGGCUGAUUGUUUCCCCGGAUUCCUUUGUCCACCUCCAUUUUUCACAUCUCAAAUCCCCAUCUCGCAGAAAAUUUGCUCUCCGGAAGUUAUCAACAUCAAAAGAACCUUGC